rnacentral:rRNA from 1 species
CCCUUAGACGUUCUGGGCCGCACGCGCGCUACACUGAUGCAUUCAACGAGCCUAUCCUUGACCGACAGGUCCGGGUAAUCUUUGAAUCUGCAUCGUGACGGGGAUAGAUUAUUGCAAUUAUUAAUCUUCAACGAGGAAUGCCUAGUAGGCGCAAGUCAUCAGCUUGCGUCGAUUACGUCCCUGCCCUUUGUACACACCGCCCGUCGCUCCUACCGAUUGGGUGUGCUGGUGAAAUGUUCGGAUCGGCCGUUUGUCGCGGUUUCCGCGUCAUGUGGCUGAGAAGUUCAUUAAACCCUCCCACCUAGAGGAAGGGGAAGUCGUAACA